AAGGCCAAUUUCUGGCCUUGGAGGCUGCAGCAGCAGCAGCAGCACCUGGAGCUCAGGAUAAAACAGGGGGGCCAAAAACCUGAGCCCCCACCUCACCACCGAGCUUCCAGUGUGUCAGGAGAACCACACUGCACACAGCCUGCCCUGACCUGCGGCCAUGACUGGGAACUCAUCCCAUCUGCAACCAUGAGGGCCACUGGAAGUGUGACUGCCCUGUCCACCAGACAGCGGGUCAGUGGUCACCUUCCUGCCUUCACAGGAUGUUGACGCUGCUGCCUGGGACUCAGGACCUGUCACUGGCUCGGCGUCACUGCUGAGAGGAUGAGCUGGGGCUCUGGCCCAUGGCCUCACCAGGUCUCCCUCAGAGCCCCGAGUCUCUCUGGACAUCCCAGAUGGUGCCCACGGCUGAUCCCGAUGGUGACCCUACCUUCCCAGCCUUCCCACUUCACCCCAAGCCAUCCUGAAGCAGCCAAAAAGACCUCAUCACCAGACUCCUAAAAACAAAAGGCUGGAGUAAAGGGUCAGCCUGUCCCCUGAACCUGUUCAUGCUUGGGUUGCAAGAAGACAAACUUUCCAGAACCAAAAGUCAACCCUGCCCAGGAGGGAACCUGAAGACACCCGUGUCACACCUGGCUCACCCGCAGAGACACUCCCCCAGCAUAACCCUUAAAAACCCUUUCCCCAAGCAAACGGGCUGCCUUGGUCUGCAUGGCAGUCCACCCCCUGCCCAAUAAAGCUUCUCUCUUGCGGCA